AGUAGCAGUGACAUCUCCUACAUGAGUCAUUUAGGUGGUGCACACACACACACAAAGAAACAAACACACACAGACACACAGAGAGACAUAGACACACAGAGGCACACACAGACACACAGAGAGACAUACAGAGACACACAUACAUACACACAAACACACACACACACAGAUACACAGACAUCUGGAGACACACAGAGACACACAGAU
rnacentral:lncRNA from 1 species